GAUGAAGAACGCAGCGAAAUGCGAUAAGUAAUGCGAAUUGCAGAAUUUCCGUGAGUCAUCGAAUCUUUGAACGCACAUUGCGCCCACUGGUAUUCCGGUGGGCAUGCCUGUUCGAGCGUCAUUAUCCUCUCUCAAACCCCGGGUUUGGUGUUGGACCCAAGUUGUGUGAACAACUGGUCUCAAAGACAAUGACGGCGUCCGUGGGACCCUCGGUGCAACGAGCUUUUAGGAGCACGCAUCGAGUUGCAAGGACCUUCCGGGCCGGUCUCCUUUCCCAUUUUACAAGGUUGACCUCGGAUCAGGUAGGAAUACCCGCUGAACUUAAGCAUAUCAAUAAGCGGAGGA
rnacentral:misc_RNA from 1 species